rnacentral:rRNA from 1 species
GACAGAGGGUGCAAACGUUGUCCGGAUUUAUUGGGCGUAAAGAGCUCGUAGGCGGCUUGUUGCGUCGACUGUGAAAACCCGCGGCUUAACUGCGGGCUUGCAGUUGAUACGGGCAGGCUAGAGUUCGGUAGGGGAGACUGGAAUUCCUGGUGUAGCGGUGAAAUGCGCAGAUAUCAGGAAGAACACCAAUGGCGAAGGCAGCUCUCUGGGACGGUACUGACGCUGAGACGCGAAAAGCGUGGGGGAGCGAACAGG